GAGUUUGAUCCUGACUCAGAACGAACGCUGGCGGCGUGCCUAACACAUGCAAGUCCAACGUGAAAGGGGAGCAAUCCCCCGGUAGGGUGGCAAACGGGUGAGUAAUACAUGGGUGAUCUACCUUAGGGAUGGGGAUAUCCUUCCGAAAGGAGGGGCAAUACCGAAUAUUGUCCGGAGCCGUGAAGGGUUCCGGGGAAAGGGAGGCCUCUGAUACAAGCUUUCGCCUUAAGAUGAGCCCAUGGCCCAUCAGCUAGUUGGUAGGGUAAAGGCCUACCAAGGCUACGACGGGUCGCUGGUCUGAGAGGACGACCAGCCACACUGGCACUGAGAUACGGGCCAGACUCCUACGGGAGGCAGCAGUGAGGAAUAUUGCGCAAUGGGGGAAACCCUGACGCAGCAACGCCGCGUGUGGGAAGAAGGCCUUCGGGUCGUAAACCACUUUUGCACGGGACGAAAAAGGGAUAUCGAACAAAUAUCCCCGAUGACGGUACCGUGAGAAUAAGCCACGGCUAACUCUGUGCCAGCAGCCGCGGUAAGACAGAGGUGGCAAGCGUUGUUCGGAAUUACUGGGCGUAAAGAGUCUGUAGGUGGUUUGUCAAGUCUUUGGUGAAAGGCCGUAGCUUAACUACGGGAAUGCCAAAGAGACUGGCAGGCUGGAGGCUGGGA
rnacentral:rRNA from 1 species